GAUCAUGGCUCAGAUUGAACGCUGGCGGCAGGCCUAACACAUGCAAGUCGAACGGUAACAGGAAGAAGCUUGCUUCUUUGCUGACGAGUGGCGGACGGGUUAGUAAUGUCUGGGAAACUGCCUGAUGGAGGGGGAUAACUACUGGAAACGGUAGCUAAUACCGCAUAACGUCGCAAGACCAAAGAGGGGGGACCUUCGGGCCUCUUGCCAUCGGAUGUGCCCAGAUGGGAUUAGCUAGUAGGUGGGGUAACGGG
rnacentral:rRNA from 1 species